rnacentral:rRNA from 1 species
CCAGAGAACUUUCCAGAGAUGGAUUGGUGCCUUCGGGAACUCUGAGACAGGUGCUGCAUGGCUGUCGUCAGCUCGUGUUGUGAAAUGUUGGGUUAAGUCCCGCAACGAGCGCAACCCUUAUCCUUUGUUGCCAGCGGUUAGGCCGGGAACUCAAAGGAGACUGCCAGUGAUAAACUGGAGGAAGGUGGGGAUGACGUCAAGUCAUCAUGGCCCUUACGAGUAGGGCUACACACGUGCUACAAUGGCGCAUACAAAGAGAAGCGACCUCGCGAGAGCAAGCGGACCUCAUAAAGUGCGUCGUAGUCCGGAUUGGAGUCUGCAACUCGACUCCAUGAAGUCGGAAUCGCUAGUAAUCGUAGAUCAGAAUGCUACGGUCGAAUACGUUCCCGGGCCUUGUACACACCGCCCGUCACACCAUGGGAGUGGGUUGCAAAAGAAGUAGGUAGCUUAACCUUCGGGAGGGCGCUUACCACUUUGUGAUUCAUGACUGGGGUGAAGUCGUAACAAGGUAGGCGUAGUGCU